UCUAGAACCUUCUCCAGAGCUCGACAACGGUUAUAUCCAAUUGGCCAACAGCAUGAUGGACACUUAUUAGCAAUCUUGGUGCAGCAGGAGGCACAUGCUAUGUGCCCAUUCUCACACUGAAAGACAGGAACAGAGAGAUGUUCAAGGCAGAUUGGGCAAUCCAACACAUCAGGAUCCGAUAACAUCACAGAAAUUGACCCGUUUCCUCUUGAACCCUCCAAAUUCUGAUCUGGGUCCUCCCCAGAAAUGGCCCUGUUCUCUCUUGCAACCUCCGAUUCACGAACUGGCAACCUCCGAUCACCGCUCAAUCGGAAAUUUCCCUCAGAUUCCGAUUCACGAACUGGCAACCUCCGAUCACCGCUCAAUCGGAAAUUUCCCUCAGAU
rnacentral:misc_RNA from 1 species